rnacentral:rRNA from 1 species
UAGGGAAUCUUCCGCAAUGGACGCAAGUCUGACGGAGCAACGCCGCGUGAGUGAAGAAGGAUUUCGGUUCGUAAAACUCUGUUGUUAGAGAAGAACAGCGCAUAGAGUAACUGUUAUGCGUGUGACGGUAUCUAACCAGAAAGCCACGGCUAACUACGUGCCAGCAGCCGCGGUAAUACGAAGGUGGCAAGCGUUGUCCGGAUCUAUUGGGCGUAAAGCGAGCGCAGGCGGUUAGAUAAGUCUGAAGUUAAAGGCAGUGGCUCAACCAUUGUAGGCUUUGGAAACUGUUUAACUUGAGUGCAGAAGGGGAGAGUGGAAUUCCAUGUGUAGCGGUGAAAUGCGUAGAUAUAUGGAGGAACACCGGUGGCGAAAGCGGCUCUCUGGUCUGUAACUGACGCUGAGGCUCGAAAGCGUGGGGAGCGAACAGG